ACAUGCAAGUCGAACGAACCUUCGGGUUAGUGGCGGACGGGUGAGUAACGCGUGAGAAUCUGCCCUCAGGAGGGGGAUAACGGCUGGAAACGGCCGCUAAUACCCCAUAUGCCGCGAGGUGAAAUGAAUUUCGCCUGAGGAUGAGCUCGCGUCUGAUUAGCUAGUUGGUGGGGUAAAGGCCUACCAAGGCAUCGAUCAGUAGCUGGUCUGAGAGGAUGAUCAGCCACACUGGGACUGAGACACGGCCCAGACUCCUACGGGAGGCAGCAGUGGGGAAUUUUCCGCAAUGGGCGAAAGCCUGACGGAGCAACGCCGCGUGAGGGAUGAAGGCCUCUGGGCUGUAAACCUCUUUUAUCAAGGAAGAAGAUCUGACGGUACUUGAUGAAUAAGCCACGGCUAAUUCCGUGCCAGCAGCCGCGGUAAUACGGGAGUGGCAAGCGUUAUCCGGAAUUAUUGGGCGUAAAGCGUCCGCAGGCGGCCCUUCAAGUCUGCUGUUAAAACGUGGAGCUUAACUCCAUCAUGGCAGUGGAAACUGUUGGGCUUGAGUGUGGUAGGGGCAGAGGGAAUCCCCGGUGUAGCGGUGAAAUGCGUAGAUAUCGGGAAGAACACCAGUGGCGAAGGCGCUCUGCUGGGCCAUCACUGACGCUCAU
rnacentral:rRNA from 1 species